rnacentral:rRNA from 1 species
UACGUAGGUGGCAAGCGUUGUCCGGAUUUACUGGGCGUAAAGAGCGCGCAGGCGGUCGUUCAAGUCGCGUGUGAAAGCCCCCGGCUCAACUGGGGAGGGUCACGCGAUACUGAUCGACUCGAAGGCAGGAGAGGGUAGUGGAAUUCCCGGUGUAGUGGUGAAAUGCGUAGAUAUCGGGAGGAACACCAGUGGCGAAGGCGGUUGCCUGGAGCUUUGCUGACGCUGAUGCGCGAAAGCGUGGGGAGCGAUCCGG